GGGCCGUUAGCUCAAUUGGCAGAGCAGCGGACUUUUAAUCCGUUGGUUGUGGGUUCGAGUCCCACACGGCCUACCG
rnacentral:tRNA from 13 species